AUGAGGUGGACGGCGUUCGCGUGGGAGAGCGCGUCCCGGGCCUUCAACAACCGCCCCACCUUCACCGGCCUCGUCGUCGUCCUCGCCGCAAGUAGUGGAGGAGGCCUCGUUGCAUAUGCGGACUCUCAGCCGGACCAGCCCCAAGGAUUUAAAAAGAAGAAAGUAGUGGUUCUUGGAACUGGCUGGGCUGGCACCACAUUCCUGAGGAAUCUUGAUAGCAAACUGUACGAUGUCCAGGUCAUUUCACCUCGGAACUACUUUGCAUUCACACCCUUGCUCCCAAGUGUUACCUGUGGAACAGUAGAACCAAGGAGCGUUGUUGAGCCAAUCCGUAGGAUUCUGGAGAAGAAAGGUGGAGACUUCAAAUUCUGGGAAGCAGAGUGCUUCAAGAUUGAUCCAGCAAACAAGAAGAUUCACUGCCGCUCAAAUAUGGGGACAAAUCUUGAUGGAAAUGGCGAGUUCUUAGUUGACUACGACUAUCUGGUGGUAGCGGUUGGAGCUAGGUCUAACACAUUCAAUACUCCCGGUGUGACAGAGAAUUGCCACUUUCUGAAGGAAGUGGAAGAUGCCCAAAAGAUCCGAAGGAGUGUGAUGGACUGCUUUGAGAAGGCAAGCCUCCCAUACCUUAAUGAAGAAGAGAGGAAGAAGAAUCUUCACUUUGUUGUUGUGGGAGGUGGACCUACAGGUGUUGAAUUUGCGGCAGAGUUGCAUGAUUUUGUUACUGAAGAUCUAUCCAAGCUCUAUCCUUCUAUUCAGCAUCUUGUCAAGAUAUCACUGAUCGAAGCUGCAGAUCACAUACUGACUAUGUUCGACAAGAGAAUUACCAACUUUGCUGAGGACAAGUUUGGAAGGGAUGGCAUUGAUGUAAAAACUGGAUAUAAAGUUGUGAAGGUUUCUAAGGAUGCAAUUACCAUGCAAAAUCCAGCUACUGGUGAUAUUGCAGUUCCUUACGGAAUGGCUGUCUGGUCCACUGGUAUUGGGACCCGCCCAUUCGUUGUGGACUUCAUGAAACAAAUUGGCCAGGCUAAUCGUCGUGUCCUCGCUACUGAUGAAUGGCUAAGGGUGCGUGAAUGUGAUGAUGUUUAUGCAGUAGGUGACUGUGCUACCAUAAACCAGCGGAGAGUAAUGGAGGACAUCUCAGAAAUAUUCAGAGUUGCAGACAAAGAUAAAUCUGGAACCUUGACUGUGAAAGAAAUCCAAGACAUCCUGGAGGAUAUCUACGUGAGAUAUCCGCAAGUAAAACUAUACAUGAAGAGCAAGCAACUGAACGGAAUUGCAGAUUUAAUAAGAACUGGCAAAGGUGACACCGAAAAGGAAUCUGUAGAGCUGAACAUUGAAGAGUUUAAGAAGGCUCUUUCACUCGUGGAUUCACAAGUCAAGAAUCUACCUGCAACAGCUCAGGUUGCUGCACAGCAAGGACAGUAUCUUGCGACAUGCUUUAACAAGAUGCAGACUGCUGAACAAAAUCCUGAAGGACCAAUCCGCAUUAGGGGAGAAGGCCGUCAUCGUUUCAACCCCUUCAGGUACAGGCAUUUAGGCCAGUUUGCUCCAUUAGGAGGGGAGCAAACUGCUGCACAGCUCCCGGGUGACUGGGUCUCCAUUGGCCACAGCUCACAGUGGCUCUGGUAUUCCGUCUACGCAACCAAACAAAUAAGCUGGCGCACGAGGGCACUGGUGAUAUCUGACUGGGGCCGUCGCUUCAUCUUCGGUAGGGACUCGAGCGGCAUAUAG
rnacentral:rRNA from 1 species